rnacentral:rRNA from 1 species
AUGGAAGCCACAUCAGAAACCUUAGUACAUAUCCAAGAGCUGGUCAGGAAGACGACUGAGAGACUUGAAACCGAUUUCUCCAGGAUUGGAACCAAGAUUCAUAGGUUCCCGCGUGGCCUGAAGGGAGUCGGCGGCAAAGGCGGCCGCUACAUCAUCCCGAGCUUCGUGGCCCUCGGCCCGUACCACCAUGGCUCACCCCAGCUGCAAGAAAUGGAGGAGGUCAAGCACGCGGCGGCACACUACUUUUGCGCAGAGUCGGGCCACUCGGUUGAGGAAAUGUACGACAAGAUCCUCUCCAUCAUCGGCCAAGUCCGCUGCUGCUACGCGGAAGAUGCGAUCGCGGGUUUCAGUAACGCCGAAUUUGCGGCAAUGAUGUUCCUCGAUGGUUGCUUCCUGCUGCGCUAUAUUACCUUUGAUAUGGAAUGUGCUCUUCUGACAAAUCGGAUGACCCUGUCCACCGGGCCUUGCAUGCUGAGGGACAUCUUUCUGCUGGAGAACCAACUACCUUGGUUGGUGCUGGAGGCUCUCAUGGCUUUCACCAAUAAUAUUGUUCCUGUGUACAGGUUUGUUUAUAACCUAUCGUUCGAUUUUGAGGCCAUCUCAGUUUCAGACUUGAGAGUUGAGACUCUCCGAAGAUGAGUUCCAUACAGGCCGCCACAUCUCCUUGGGCUGUUCAGAUACUAUCAGAUAGGUGCCAUGCCCCCCGAGGAUCCUAGCUACAAGCGCCGAUGCCGUGCGCUAGCUAGUGGUGCGACCGAGCUGUCGGAAAUCGGUGUCAAGUUGACCGCCAGCGACAAGAGAUGGUUCGCAGACAUGAGCAUCCGUAAAGGACCCCUCGCCGGUGCGUUGUGGCUGACGCCAUUGUUCCUCAGCGAUUGCACUGCUUGCUGGCUCGUCAACAUGGCGGCCUUUGAGGCCUGCACGCCCACCAGCUAUCCCUCGGAUGGUUUCGUGGUUAGCUCGUACCUCUCACUCCUGGCGAUGCUCAUGGACAAGGAGGAGGACGACGUGCACCAGCUGCGAGCAAAGCACCUCCUGCGCAGCUUCUUCAGCAACCAAGAGGUGCUAGGCUUCUUCAAGGGCCUCACUCGCCACAUGCGCCUCGGCCGACGCUACUACUCCAUCUUGGAGGAAGUUGAACAUUACAGGCGUGAAAGGCCUGUGAGGAUUGCUGUCCAUAAGUUUCUCUACAGAAACUUCAAGAUAGCCGCCGUGCUCUCCAUCGCCGGCGUGCUUGUAGGCAUCUUCAAAACCCUCCUUAGUCUCAAGGAGCAUCCGCAGUAG